rnacentral:rRNA from 1 species
UACGUAGGGACCAAGCGUUGUCCGGAAUCAUUGGGCGUAAAGAGCGUGUAGGCGGCUUGUUAAGUCUUGCGUGAAAUCUCGGGGCUCAACCCCGAGCGGUCGUGAGAAACUGGCAGGCUAGAGUGCGGGAGAGGAGAGUGGAAUUCCUGGUGUAGCGGUGAAAUGCGCAGAUAUCAGGAAGAACACCCAUGGCGAAGGCGGCUCUCUGGAACGCAACUGACGCUGAGACGCGAAAGCGUGGGGAGCAAACAGG